rnacentral:rRNA from 1 species
AGUUAACGUUGGCGGCGUGCCUAACACAUGCAAGUCGAACGCGUCCUAAGGGCAACUUUAGGAUGAGUGGCGAACGGGUGAGUAUCACGUGGGUAAUCUUCCUUCAAGUGGGGAAUAAGCUCUCGAAAGGGAGUCUAAUACCGCAUGACAUUCCGGGACACAAGUCCCGUAAUCAAAGCCGCAAGGCGCUUGAAGAUGAGCCUGCGUCCUAUUAGCUAGUUGGUGGGGUAACGGCCUACCAAGGCUCAGAUGGGUAGCCGGCCUGAGAGGGUGUCCGGCCACACUGGGACUGAGACACGGCCCAGACUCCUACGGGAGGCAGCAGUGGGGAAUAUUGCACAAUGGGCGGAAGCCUGAUGCAGCGACGCCGCGUGAGGGAUGACGGCCUUCGGGUUGUAAACCUCUUUCAGUACAGAACAAGGCCUUCGGGUUGAGGGUAUGUGCAGAAGAAGCGCCGGCUAACUACGUG